GGGUGACGAGCGCCUUUACGGGUGAGUAACGCGUAGGAAUCUACCUAAUGGUGGGGGAUAGCCCAGGGAAACUUGGAUUAAUACCGCAUAAGUCCUAAGGGAGAAAGCGGGGGAUCUUCGGACCUCGUGCCAUUAGAUGAGCCUGCGUAAGAUUAGCUAGUUGGUGAGGUAAGAGCUCACCAAGGCGACGAUCUUUAGCUGGUCUGAGAGGAUGAUCAGCCACACUGGGACUGAGACACGGCCCAGACUCCUACGGGAGGCAGCAGUGGGGAAUAUUGGACAAUGGGGGCAACCCUGAUCCAGCCAUGCCGCGUGUGUGAAGAAGGCCUUCGGGUUGUAAAGCACUUUCAGAUGUGAGGAAAGGUUACAGAUUAAUACUCUGUAGCUGUGACGUUAACAUCAGAAGAAGGACCGGCUAACUCCGUGCCAGCAGCCGCGGUAAUACGGAGGGUCCGAGCGUUAAUCGGAAUUACUGGGCGUAAAGCGCGCGUAGGUGGUUUCGUCAGUCAGAUGUGUAAGCCCAGGGCUCAACCUUGGAAUUGCACCUGAUACUGCGGGACUAGAGUACGAUAGAGGGGAGUGGAAUUUCCGGUGUAGCGGUGAAAUGCGUAGAUAUCGGAAGGAACACCAGUGGCGAAGGCGACUCCCUGGAUUGAUACUGACACUGAGGUGCGAAAGCGUGGGGAGCGAACAGGAUUAGAUACCCUGGUA
rnacentral:rRNA from 1 species